GUCGACGCGGGCACUUGUGCCCGAGUGGCGAACGGGUGAGUAAUACAUAAGUAACCUGGCCUUUACAGGGGGAUAACUGCUGGAAACGGCAGCUAAGACCGCAUAGGUAGGGACACUGCAUGGUGACCGUAUUAAAAGUGCUGCAAGGCACUGGUAGAGGAUGGACUUAUGGCGCAUUAGCUGGUUGGUGAGGUAACGGCUCACCAAGGCGACGAUGCAUAGCCGACCUGAGAGGGUGACCGGCCACACUGGGACUGAGACACGGCCCAGACUCCUACGGGAGGCAGCAGUAGGGAAUUUUCGGCAAUGGGGGGAACCCUGACCGAGCAACGCCGCGUGAAGGAAGAAGGAAUUCGUUCUGUAAACUUCUGUUAUAAAGGAAGAAAGACGGAUGGAGGAAAUGACAUCCGAGUGACGGUACUUUAUGAGAAAGCCACGGCUAACUACGUGCCAGCAGCCGCGGUAAUACGUAGGUGGCAAGCGUUAUCCGGAAUUAUUGGGCGUAAAGAGGGAGCAGGCGGCAGCAAAGGUCUGUGGUGAAAGACUGAAGCUUAACUUCAGUAAGCCAUAGAAACCGGGCAGCUAGAGUGCAGGAGAGGAUCGUGGAAUUCCAUGUGUAGCGGUGAAAUGCGUAGAUAUAUGGAGGAACACCAGUGGCGAAGGCGACGAUCUGGCCUGCAACUGACGCUCAGUCCCGAAAGCGUGGGGAGCAAAUAGGAUUAGAUACCCUAGUAGUCCACGCCGUAAACGAUGAGUACUAAGUGUUGGAAGUCAAAUUUCAGUGCUGCAGUUAACGCAGUAAGUACUCC
rnacentral:rRNA from 1 species